rnacentral:rRNA from 1 species
UACGGAAGGCAGCAGUGGGGAAUAUUGCACAAUGGGCGCAAGCCUGAUGCAGCCAUGCCGCGUGUAUGAAGAAGGCCUUCGGGUUGUAAAGUACUUUCAGUCGUGAGGAAGGUGUUAAGGUUAAUAACCUUAGCAAUUGACGUUAGCGACAGAAGAAGCACCGGCUAACUCCGUGCCAGCAGCCGCGGUAAUACGGAGGGUGCGAGCGUUAAUCGGAAUUACUGGGCGUAAAGGGCACGCAGGCGGUUAAUUAAGUUGGAUGUGAAAUUCCCGGGCUUAACCUGGGAAUGGCAUUCAAGACUGGUUAGCUAGAGUCUUGUAGAGGGGGUAGAAUUCCAUGUGUAGCGGUGAAAUGCGUAGAGAUGUGGAGGAAUACCGGUGGCGAAGGCGGCCCCUGGGACAAAGACUGACGCUCAUGUGCGAAAGCGUGGGGAGCAAACAGGAUUAGAUACC